GCGGUGAUAGUUCAGUGGUAGAACGUCUCCUUGCCAAGGAGAAGGUCACGGGUUCGAGCCCCGUUCACCGCUCCA
rnacentral:tRNA from 1 species